rnacentral:rRNA from 1 species
UACGAAGGGGGCUAGCGUUGUCCGGAAUCAUUGGGCGUAAAGAGCGUGUAGGCGGCCCGGUAAGUCCGCUGUGAAAGUCAAAGGCUCAACCUUUGAAUGUCAGCGGAUACUGCCGGGCUAGAGUCCGGAAGAGGCGAGUGGAAUUCCUGGUGUAGCGGUGGAAUGCGCAGAUAUCAGGAGGAACACCUGCGGCGAAGGCAGCUCGCUGGGACGGUACUGACGCUGAGGAGCGAAAGCAUGGGGAGCGAACAGG